ensembl:snRNA U1 U1 spliceosomal RNA
AUACUUACCUGGCAGGGGAGAUACCAUGAUCACGAAGGUGGUUUUCCCAGGGCGAGGCUUAUCCAUUGCACUCCGGAUGUGCUGACCCCUGCAAUUUCCCCAAAUGUGGGAAACUCAACUGCAUAAUUUGUGGUAGUGGGGGACUGUGUUCGCGCUUUCCCCAU